UCGGGAAUUUUGCGCAAUGGACGAAAGUCUGACGCAGCAACGCCGCGUGAGGGAUGACGGCCUUCGGGUUGUAAACCUCUUUUGUCAGGGACGAUGAUGACGGUACCUGACGAAUAAGCCACGGCUAACUACGUGCCAGCAGCCGCGGUAAUACGUAGGUGGCAAGCGUUGUCCGGAUUUACUGGGCGUAAAGAGCGCGCAGGCGGUCGUUCAAGUCCCGUGUGAAAGCCCCCGGCUCAACUGGGGAGGGUCACGGGAUACUGAUCGACUCGAAGGCAGGAGAGGGUAGUGGAAUUCCCGGUGUAGUGGUGAAAUGCGUAGAUAUCGGGAGGAACACCAGUGGCGAAGGCGACUACCUGGCCUGUUCUUGACGCUGAGGCGCGAAAGCUAGGGGAGCAAACG
rnacentral:rRNA from 1 species